UUCCCAUGUGGGGGCACCCUGACGCAGCGACGCCGCGUGAGCGAUUAAGGCCUUCGGGUUGUAAAGCUCUGUCAGAUGGGAAGAAACGUAUGGUUCUCAAUAGGAGCCAUACUUGACGGUACCAUCAGAGGAAGCCCCGGCUAACUCCGUGCCAGCAGCCGCGGUAAUACGGAGGGGGCAAGCGUUGUUCGGAAUUACUGGGCGUAAAGGGCACGUAGGCGGUCUGAUAAGUCAGGCGUGAAAUCCCAUGGCUUAACUAUGGAAUUGCGUUUGAUACUGUCAGACUUGAGUACAGAAGAGGAGAGUGGAAUUCCUAGUGUAGCGGUGAAAUGCGCAGAUAUUAGGAGGAACACCAGUGGCGAAGGCGACUCUCUGGUCUGAUACUGACGCUGAGGUGCGAAAGCGUGGGGAGCAAACGGGAUUAGAUACCCCGGUAGUCCACGCCGUAAACGAUGGGUACUAGGUGUAGGGGGUAACGAAACCUUCUGUGCCGAAGCUAACGCAUUAAGUACCCCGCCUGGGGAGUACGAUCGCAAGAUUGAAACUCAAAGGAAUUGACGGGGGCCCGCACAAGCGGUGGAGCAUGUGGUUUAAUUCGACGCAACGCGAAGAACCUUACCAGGGCUUGACAUGUACAGGCUACCCUGUGAAAGCAGGGGUUCCUUCGGGACCAGUACACAGGUGCUGCAUGGCUGUCGUCAGCUCGUGUCGUGAGAUGUUGGGUUAAGUCCCGCAACGAGCGCAACCCUCACCCUUAGUUGCCAGCGGAUAAUGCCGGGGACUCUAAGGGAACUGCCCCGGUAACGGGGAGGAAGGUGAGGAUGACGUCAAGUCCUCAUGGCCUUUUAUGCCCUGGGCUACACACGUGCUACAAUGGGGUGGUACAAA
rnacentral:rRNA from 1 species